UACGUAACAAGUCGGAAAGGAUUAAUAAGGUGCCAUCGAGCAGUAUGGCUGGCUCAAUGGGCGGCCUGCGCCCGAUGCACGAAGCUUCGCGAUUCGUGUGCCUCGCCCGCCUGUUUUGCCGGCAGGUCCCAGCAGGAGGCAGCAGGCCCCACCCACUGAACCAGCCACGCAGCAUCAAACCCCUUCACCGCCCCUGUCCUCCAGGCAGUGCUCGUAUCUUCCUUCUUUUCGACAGAAAUUUGCCCAAAAUAGCCUCCGGCGGAAGAAUUUUUUGAUUCCUGUGGCCAAAAAUCUGUGAAAACGCUUCAGAUUUUGAGGGUCUUUCUGAGAAUCGCAGAAGACAUUUUGGGGCGUUUCUGUCACUUGUCCGGGCCCAAGGCAAGGGUGACUGAGGUUCCCCAGGAUAAUCUACGGCCGUGUCCUGCUGGUACCAUGGGGGCGUGGGUACCACGAUAGGUCAGCCUUCUACCAGGGGGGUCAUGCCGUGGGUGAGUGAGCAUGAUGAGCAUGGGUGAGGGCGCUGGGGUUUGGCGUGGGGAUGGGCCACGAUUUGCCAUGGAGCCAUGGAGCCGGUGCUUUUUUCAGCAACAUAGUGUUAACGUGGCAACAGCAACCUCACCCCGCAGGCUGUGACAAUGGCACGUCCUGUGCGGUGGAAUAUUUUGCUGUGCCGGAGCCGGAACGUGGGCUGGGGGCAACAGCAACCUCACCCCGCACGCUGUGAC
rnacentral:lncRNA from 1 species